rnacentral:rRNA from 1 species
GUGCCAGCCGCCGCGGUAAUACAGGGGGUGCAAACGUUGCUCGGAAUUAUUGGGCGUAAAGCGCGCGUAGGCGGCUUUGCAAGUCGGAUGUGAAAGCCCUCGGCUUAACUGAGGAAGUGCAUCCGAAACUGCAUGGCUUGAGUACCAAAGAGGAUCGCGGAAUUCCCGGUGUAGAGGUGAAAUUCGUAGAUAUCGGGAGGAACACCAGCGGCGAAGGCGGCGAUCUGGGUGGAAACUGACGCUGAGGCGCGAAAGUGUGGGGAGCAAACAGGAUUAGAAACCCGGGUAGUCC